AGAGUUUGAUCAUGGCUCAGAGCGAACGCUGGCGGCGUGCUUAACACAUGCAAGUCGAGUGCGCAGUCUUCUGUAGCAAUACAGGAGGCAGGCGCACGGCGCACGGGUGCGUAACACGUGGGCAAUCUGCCCUUCGGUGGGGAAUAACCCCGCGAAAGCGGGGCUAAUACCGCAUGACAUUCCGGAGACCUCGGUUUCCGGACUCAAAGGCCGCAAGGCCGCCGGAGGAGGAGCCCGCGCCCGAUUAGCUAGUUGGUGAGGUAACGGCUCACCAAGGCUAUGAUCGGUAGCCGGUCUGAGAGGAUGAUCGGCCACACUGGAACUGAGACACGGUCCAGACUCCUACGGGAGGCAGCAGUGGGGAAUCUUGCGCAAUGGGCGAAAGCCUGACGCAGCGACGCCGCGUGGGGGAUGAAGCCUUUCGGGGUGUAAACCCCUUUCGAUCCGGACGAAUGACCCGCAAGGGUUUGACGGUACGGGUAGAAGAAGCCCCGGCUAACUACGUGCCAGCAGCCGCGGUAAGACGUAGGGGGCCAGCGUUGCUCGGAAUUACUGGGCGUAAAGGGUUCGUAGGCGGUGCGGCAAGUCGGGAGUGAAAUCUCUGGGCUUAACUCAGAGGCUGCUUCCGAAACUGCCGUGCUCGAGUGCGGGAGAGGCGAGUGGAAUUGCAGGUGUAGCGGUGAAAUGCGUAGAUAUCUGCAGGAACACCCGUGGCGAAAGCGGCUCGCUGGACCGCAACUGACGCUGAGGAACGAAAGCUAGGGGAGCAAACAGGAUUAGAUACCCUGGUAGUCCUAGCCCUAAACCAUCAGACUUGGGGUGGCUCGCGUAGGCGGGUCGUCCCGUAGCUAACGCGUUAAGUCCUGCGCCUGGGGAGUACGGUCGCAGACUGAAACUCAAAGGAUUGACGGGGGCCCGCACAAGCGGUGGAACAUGUGGUUCAAUUCGACCGCAACCGCGAAGAACUUACCUGGGCU
rnacentral:rRNA from 1 species